AGGAGGAGCCCCAGAAUCUGAUUCUGAGGAUAGAUUCACUGAGUUCCAAAUACAGAGAGUGAAAGGUGAGCUGUGUAAAUAUGGACACCUCCCAAGUCAUUAAGAUAAAAAAAAAACACAUAGCAGGCAACCUCAUCAGUAUUGCAGCCUACCACUCACAGGAUAAAGAGGCACAGUGGGGGGGUUUUAGAGCAACAGCAAGUAGAAACACCAGCAAGAUAUAUGUGAGCCAACACACAUUAACUAAAGUGUGUGGCUUUUAUGUGAUGCUUAAUGCACAUGAACCUAUUUUAAUGUGCAUUAACUAAAAAGCAUAUUUUAAUGAUGCUUUAGUGCACAUUAAAAUAAACUUAUGUGCAUUAAAGUAUAUGUGUAGAUGUACCUAUUGAUAUUUUUUUCUAUUACCUAUUUUAUCUAAAGAUUUUACAACAUUUUAUAACAACUCAUAUUGAAGCUAAUUUUCAUGCUUUCAGUUGACUUCACUGGGGUCUGUAUUGGCUCUUAUGCUAAUGAAUGAAUGCUGAGAACAUACCUUGCAGCCAGGAGCUGUGCAUGUCCCUUUGUAUGACAGUGAAUUCUAAUCUUAAAAUGUGCUGUUACAGUAUGAUGUGAACACAUGGCGCCACAUGCUCAGGCUGCACUCUGACCUUGUCCCUCCAGCCUCAUCUUCUAUAAUUAUCUUCUAUUUCUCUGCUGCAGAUAGAAGCUACACUACUUUUGCAUCUCUACUCUUUACCACCUUCUUCCCAGAGAACUUGAACAAUAAACUGAAGUAGGAUUUCUUAGAUCUCUCCACUCACCUUAGGUUUGCUUGUCUCUCUGCCCAUCUGCAUCAGAGAAGUCAACCUGUGGCUCUGGAGUUGGUGCCAUUGUGCAGGUUUUGGUUUCUUAUACCAUGAUCUGCACUUCCACAAAAAGGGCAUCCUGAGGCAUGGUGGUCUUCAUUUCACUUCAAAAGGUGAGAAUCUGGUCUCUUACAGGUUGGCUGAUCUCCUACACAGGCUUUGAACUAGGUUUAUCGGGGGAUGGGGAUACAAAGGACAGAGAGAACCUAGGAUCCACAAACCAAGAGCCGUGUGCUGGAACAGGUCACAUAAGUACUAUGGGGCCCAAUAAGCAUCAGGACAAGGGGGCACCAAGGGCACCCAUCAGAGGGGCUUAAGUGUCGCUAUACCAAUGCUAGGAGCGUGAGGAACAAGCAGGAGGAACUCGCACUCCUGCUUGAAAACAAAACCUUUGACCUGGUUGGGCUAACUGAAACCUGGUGGGACCCUACCCAUGAUUGGGCAGUAGGCAUUGAGGGAUAUAGUUGUACAGACAGGAUAGAGUAGGGAAAAAAAAUAGCAGGGUGGGUGUUGUUUUCUAUGUUAAGGAGCAAUAUACACCUUCUCUUAUCUAGAUGGGACCAGAGGAAGGGCAAAUUGAGGUACUGUGGAUCAGAAUACAAGGGGGUUGGGGGGAAAGGGACUUGGUAGUGGAGGCGUACUAUAGACCACCACACCAGGAGAAUGAGCUAGACCUAGAAUUCUCAAGGCAGAUCUCAAAGGCCAUAUGGUCAAGGGACAUGGUUGUCAUGGGUGACCUUAACUACCCUGAUAUCUGCUGGGAGGAGCAGUCUGCCAGGUCUAACCAUUCACACAGGUUUAUAACCUUCAAACAGGACCUUCACCUAAUGCAGGAGGUAUACGAUCCCAUUAGGGAAAAUACCUUAUUGGACUUGGUGUUGGCUAUAGGGGAUGACCUGGUGUAUCUGCAGAUAGAAGGAAACCUAGGGGAUAGUGACCAUCAAUUGAUUGAAUUUACUAUCUGGUGAAAGGUGGGAAAGAUGAUCAGUAGGGCAGAAGUGCUAGACUUCAGAAAGGCUAACUUCAGUGAGCUCAGGAGAUUAGUUAGUGAGACACUGAUGAUCAGGAACAUUGGUGAGAUGGGAGUCCAGGAAAAGUGGUUGUUCCUAAAGGGAGCAAUCCUUCAGGCACAGAAAGAGACAAUCCCAUUGUGCAUGAAAGGGGCAAAGGGGCCAAGAAACCCUCUUCACUGAACAGGGAAAUCCAGGAAAGCCUAGGGGAGAAAAAAGAGAUGUAUAGGUUGUGGAACCAGGGGGUAGCUACCAAGAAGGAGUAUACCUACUUGGCUCACACUUGCAGGGAGUCAGUUAGAAAGGCCGAAGCUGCAAUAGAACUUAGGCUGGCAAUGAAAAUUAAAGACAACAAAAAAUCCUUCUACACAUAUAUAGGGAGUAAAAAGAAGGCACAGGGUAACAUAGGACCCUACAGGGCAGACUAGGGCAAUUGGUGACGGAUAGGAGGGACAAAGCUGAGCUCUUCAAUCAGCUUUUUGCUUCUGUAUUCAUCAACAUGGAUCAGGACAAAUCUCCCAAUUGGAUUAGAGAUGAGCACAGGAGGGAAACCAGCCCACCAACUGUUAGCACCGACUUAGUGAAGGGACUCUUGGAGGGGCUGUGUGUGUUUAAGUCAGCAUGUCUGGAUGAUCUUUAUCCAAGGGUGCUGAUGGAAUUGGCCAGUGUCAUAGAAGAAUAACUGGAAAGGUUGUUUGAGCAUUCAUGGUUCUUGGGUCAGGUCCCAGAGGAUUGGAAAAAGACCAAUGUGAUCCCUAUUUUCAGUAAGAGGGGGAAGGAGGAUUUGGGUAACUAUAGGUGAGUUAGCCUCACCUCUAUCCUUGGGAAAACCUUAAAAAAAUUACUAAGGAUCUCAUUUGUGGGAGUCCAGCAGGUAAAAUAAUGCUGAAGGGCAACCAACACAGGUUCAUAGCAAGUAAAUCCUGUUUGACUAACCUUGUUUCUUUUUAUGACCAGGUCACAAAAUGCUUAGAUGCAGGGGACAUGGUAGAUGUAAUCUACCUGGAUUUUUAGAAGGCCUUCAAUACAGUAUCUCAUCCUAUUCUCAUAAAUAAAGUGAGUGGCUGUGAUGUAGAUGAUUACAUGGUCAAGUGGGUGGCAAAUUGGCUAAUGAGAUGCACCCAGAGAGAGGUGGUGGAUGAGUCUGCAUCAACCUGGAAAGAUGUGGGCAGUGGAGUUCCUCAAGGUUCGGUCCUUGAACCAAUGCUGUUCAAUGUCUUCAUCAUUGCCUUGUUGACUUGGAUGAGGCCGUGGAUAGGACUCUGUCCAAAUUUGCAUAUGACACCAAAUUAUGGGGUAAAGUUAACAUACAAGUGGGCAGGGAACAAACCCAGGUAGAUCUGGACAGGUUGGAGAAGUGGAUAGAGCAGAAAAGGAUGUGAUUCAACAAGGAGAAAUGCAAAGUGCUGCACCUACGGAGAAGAAAUCACUAACACACUUACAGGUUGGGGGAUGACUGUCUUAGCAGCACGGUAGCAGAAAGGGUUCUCAGAGUCAUAGUUGACUCCAAGAUGAACAUGAGUCAUCAAUGUGAUAAAGUGAUCAGUAAAGCUAACCAUGUUUUAUCAUGCAUUAGCAGGUGCAUCACAAACAGAUCCAGAGAGGUGAUACUUCCCCUCUAUGUGGCACUGGUGUGGCUGCAGCUGCAGUACUGGGAGCCACACUUCAAGAAGGAUGUGGAUAACCUUGAGGGGAUCCAGAGGAGGGCCACUCAUAUGGUUGGAGGCCUGCAGAUAAGGACCUAUGAGGAGAGAUUGAAGGACCUGAAUUUCUUCAUCCUUCACAAGAGAAGGCUGAGUGGGGAUCUUGUGGCCAUCUACAAAUUCAUCAGCGGGGACAGCAAAAGUAUAAUAUUCCAAGAUGGUUACUAGGCGAUUACUCUUACAUUUAUCAAGACUUCUGGUUAUGAGGCUCUUUACCUAGAAUCUAUAAUCUAUGAAGAAAACGGGAUGCAUAGAGAUGCUAAGGAUAAACUGAGUUGUGAGAUGGUGGAAUAGGCUUCUGCCUCCUUCUGCCGUUCCCUGCUCUUCUCUUGAAGACUGGAAGACA